AGCGAUUCUCCUGCCUCAGCCUCCUGAGUAGCUGGGAUUACAGAAGAACAAAAUAGCGUAUAGACAGUGACACUUCAAAUACAUUACCCAAGAGUAUUUGCUGGAAUUCAACAGAGAAGUAACAGGAAACACCAAAUGUGGAGAAGGAGAAAGGAGAGACACAGCCUGCUGGUCAGGAUCAGCUGGGAGCCAGGAGUGACUUCCCAACAUAGAGGAUACAGAGAAAACUGCAGAAGACCCAGAAAAGCACAUCAUGGCAGUCUAAAAGUUCCACAUCUUUCACUUGCAGAAAAGCCUUCAGAUCUGUUUUUGCUUAAAGAGAAGUGACGGCAGACCAUUACCUGACCUACUGGACACUACUUCCCUCACUCCCUUCAGAGUCUGAGCUACAGGCAGAGCCUUCUGCUCCAAGCUCUGGCACCUUAAACUUUGUUUUUGGUAGUUAAGGACUUUGAGGUGUUGGGUGUUGAUCAAGUUUUCCUGAACAGUAAGUUAAGAAUUUCAGUUAUUUCAGGACAGUUAAUCUCAGUCCUGACUAAACCUGUUUGAUUUCAGUAGGGUGUUUUUUUUUGUUGUUGUUAUUUUUGAGACAGAGUCUUGCUCUGUCACCCAGGCUGGAGU